rnacentral:misc_RNA from 1 species
CUAUUACUCUUACCUCCAGUCUGCUCAUUUACACAAAAGGGUUGUCAAACAUUGUAAAUCAAGGCCAUACUUAAUAGGCAGCUAUUACCAAGUUCCUAGGUUAAAAUUCGUCUGCAACUGCAGCAUUACAUAAAAUGAAAGAAAAAUUCUAGAAAUUGCCAAGAAGCAUAUAACCAAACAUCCAAUAAAGAAGCAUCGCCUUUUCAACUGAAAAAGGGUUACAAUGCAAGUGCAUGAAAAACAAAAAAAUAAAUAUAC